rnacentral:lncRNA from 1 species
AUGAUAGUAAUCAUUUUUCCUUACAUUUGUAUCUUUUUUAUAGUUUACACUUAUUCUUCAUCAAAGUCCUGUGAAGUAGAUAUUAUCAACUCCAUUUUAAGGAUGCUGCUAAUAAAAGCCAGAAUAUGUUAUGAAGGUACAACUCAGGAUGCAACUUCACUCUUCAGCAGCAGGACCUACUCUCUAAUGAAUGAUGUACUCCACACUGACAAUUUCUCAAGUGAAGUGCAUGAGUUUAAGUCAGGUCAGUUGCUUUUCUAAUACAUCAAAUCUUUUUAUAUGUAAUCCUAUAUAUUUACCCAAGACGAAGGCUAUGAUUGUAGCUGUGUGGACAAAGACUGGAAGGGCAUGAACAAACAUGGUAAUCAUUAGGGUGGUGGAUUUAGAAGUAAUUUUUUCUCUAUAUAAGUUAAAAAUCGUAUAUAAUUUUUAGAGUAAGUACAUACCCAAGUUUUUUUCAAAUUAAUUAAGGAAAUCUAAUAGUCAUCCACUUUGAAUCUUAUUAGAUACUUAGCUAAUUUAACUCAGUCUUUGUCUUUCCACCUCCCAUCAAGAAAUUUCCCACCCUCUCCUCUCAGUAGCAUGAUAGUACUCUGUCAGAUUCAGAGUCAUUGGCUCAAACCACAGCAUCGUGCCACAUUGAUCUAUAAAGAUUUGUUUCUCUAUUUUAUGACCUUGUCAUUCCUCUUGAGAAUCAGGCCUAAUGAAUUCUUGCUUUUCCCCUCCUGAAGCAAAUUACUUUCUUCCAAAGAGGUCAAUCUUGAAUUUCUGCUAUGCCUCAAAGGGGCAUGGAUCAAAAAUUAAAAUGAAACUGGGAGCAGGAAAAUUAGUUUAGAGGCUGGGUAAUUGUUCACUUGAGAGAAGAUGCUGAAUUAGGAACCAUAAGAAUGAAGAGGAAGUAGAUGGAUUAUAGAAGCAUUUUGACAGACCGAUUAAUUAGGAUGUGUUAGGGAUCAAAGAAGACUCUCAGACCUCUAGCUUGGAUGACUUAUGUAGAUACUACAACUCACAAAAAUGAGUUUGUUUUGGAUAUGUUUAAAAUGAGAUAACUUUGGAUGGAGGUGCUCAGUCAGUAUUUGGAAACAUGUCUGUGUCAGGAGAAGGGGAUAAAAACUGGAGAUAAAAAUUUGAGAAUUAUCAGAUUUCUUUUUUUUUUUGUAACUACCAAAAAUGCAUGUGGUCUUUCAGUAAAAGUGACCCUCUUCCUUUGGUUCAAAUUACCAUCUGCUCCAUAAUAUAUAUUUGAGACAUUUUUACUAUU